rnacentral:rRNA from 1 species
UGGGGAAUUUUGCACAAUGGGCGGAAGCCUGAUGCAGCGACGCCGUGUGGGGGAUGAAGGCCUUCGGGUUGUAAACUCCUUUCGUCAGGGACGAAGUUUGUUUGACGGUACCUGGAUAAGAAGCACCGGCUAACUACGUGCCAGCAGCCGCGGUAAUACGUAGGGUGCGAGCGUUGUCCGGAUUUACUGGGCGUAAAGGGCUCGUAGGUGGUGUGUUGCGUCGUCUGUGUAAUCCAGGGGCUUAACUUUUGGUUGGCAGGCGAUACGGGCAUUGCUUGAGUGCUGUAGGGGAGACUGGAAUUCCUGGUGUAGCGGAGAAAUGCGCAGAUGUCAGGAGGAACACCGAUGGCGAAGGCAGGUCUCUGGGCAGUUACUGACGCUGAGGAGCGAGAGCAUGGGUAGCGAACAGG